AAUGGAAUGUCUGGUAGUUGGUGGUUCUUCUCAGCUGAGGAUGGUAAUUUGCUCUGGUGUUGUCUUGAUUUACAAUCCUUAGUCAGCAUUUGUUUUGAUAUUUCUUAUUGUGAAAACACUUAGUGCCUGUAAUGAUUUAAUAUUGAGCAAAGAUUCUUUGCUGUGUUUUUGCAGGAAACAAUAACUUGUAAAACUGUGAAUAGUGAUCCUUUUUAUUUCCACAAAUCUAUUUCUUUUUCAUUUCUAAAUGAACAGCAGCAUUUAAGGUGGAAGC
rnacentral:misc_RNA from 1 species